UACGUAGGGUGCAAGCGUUGUCCGGAAUUAUUGGGCGUAAAGAGCUCGUAGGCGGUCUGUUGCGUCGGCUGUGAAAACCCGGGGCUCAACUCCGGGCCUGCAGCCGAUACGGGCAGACUAGAGUUCGGCAGGGGAGACUGGAAUUCCUGGUGUAGCGGUGAAAUGCGCAGAUAUCAGGAGGAACACCGGUGGCGAAGGCGGGUCUCUGGGCCAGUACUGACGCUGAGGAGCGAAAGCGUGGGGAGCGAACAGG
rnacentral:rRNA from 1 species